AGCGAACGCUGGCGGCGUGCUUAACACAUGCAAGUCGAGCGAAGGUGUUUCAAGGGUAACCUUGAGAUACACUUAGCGGCGGACGGGUGAGUAAUACGUGGAUAACUUACCUCUAGGCCUGGGAUAACCCCGGGAAACUGGGGCUAAUACCUGAUAAGACCACAUUGUCUACGGACAAAGGGGUAAAAGGUGGCUGUGCAAACAGCUAUCGCCAAAAGAUAGGUUCACGUCCCAUCAGGCAGUUGGCGAGGUAAUGGCUCACCAAACCAAAGACGGGUAGCCGGCCUUGGCGGGUGAACGGCCACACGGGGGACUGAGACACGGCCCCGACUCCUACGGGAGGCAGCAGUGGGGAAUAUUGGGCAAUGGGCGCAAGCCUGACCCAGCGACGCCGCGUU
rnacentral:rRNA from 1 species